rnacentral:rRNA from 1 species
GACGAACGCUGGCGGCAUGCCUAACACAUGCAAGUCGAACGGACAGACCAGGCAUGCUUUUCGUAGUGGAACUGGAAAGUUGGUGGCGGCUGGGUGAUUAACUCGUGGACAACCUACCUUGUAAUGGGGAAUCACCUCGAGAAAUCGAAGCUAAUACCCCAUAAUAACCUUGCUUCGCAUGAAGUAAGGCGGAUAGGCGGCCUUAGCGCUGUCGAUACAUGGUGGGUCCGCGUCUGAUUAGCUAGUUGGUGAGGUAAUGGCUCACCAAGGGGACUAUCCGUAGACGGCCUGAGAGGGUGAACGGCGACAUUGGAACUGAGACACGGCCAAAACGCCUACGGGAGGCAGCAGAGGGGAAUGUUCCGCAAUGGGCGAAAGUCUGACGGAGCAAUGCGGCGUGAGUGAAGAAGGCCUUCGGGUUGUAAAGCUCUGUCCUUAGCGAAGAGAGGGUGUUGUAGGAACUGACGAGACUAUGACGGUAGUGGAUGAAGAAGCACCGGCUAACUACGUG